ACGAGCGCGAAAGGCUGCUGGGAAUCGCUAACAAAUUAAUGAAUUUGUUAGCGAUUCCCACCAGCCUUUCGCGCUUGUAUUCGACUUUUCCGCUUUGCUCGGGGACAACCUUAAUUGAAAUAGCUGUAUAGAUUAUAGCCUAUAGGCCGCAUUUUGAUUAAAGAUCCCAGAUUUUCCAUUCAUAUUUGUAAAUAUUUUAAAGUACAGUACAUGUAAUAAAGUGUAUGCACGAUUCCAGUAUUAAAAUAUUCAUUUCUUUUGUCUGAAAUUCAGUAACACAUU